rnacentral:lncRNA from 11 species
AUGAAGGAACUAGAAGGCAGAGGAGAUAGAAAUACACAGAUUUAUUUGCAAAUAGAGCUGCCAGUGACCAUCAUGAAAAGGAGUGGCACACCGAUUGAGGUUUCACAUGAGGUAUUUAUCAGACAUAGUCAAACUUUGGCCCUCCAAGUGUUUUGGACUUCAAUUCCCACAAUUCCUGGCCUCAGGCCCUUUCCUUUUCCUCCUCAGCCGCUUCAGCAACCGAAGGAGUGUUCUCCUCAGCAUCCCCAAAGCCAGGCUCCACUGCCAGCCUUGCUGCCUGGGGAGGGCUUUGAGAGAGAUGGAAAAGAUCACCAAAGGCCUCCAUUCUGCCAAGUAGGAAGGCACAACCAAAGCACCCCGGACAGAUGGCCAGCCAGGCCUUGUUUUAAAUCCUCAUGGGACCAGGCCACAUGGACAUCAUGGCUUUCCUGGCCCUCGGAGCGGGGCUCUUCCCAUUUUCCCUAUAUUAACCUCACCUUUGCGCUGACCUUGGAGGUGUCUACGGACAACGCCGGCUCUUUGGCUUAGCACCAACCCCUAGAAUCGGACAUGACCAGACUUAACGUCAGGAGGAAACCUUUACCUUUACCCAUAAGACUUGGAGAACAUUGCCAGCACCUCAUGACUCAGGAAAUGCCCUCCAGUCCUUUUCCUGGGCAUCAUCUUAAUCAAAAAGGAUCCAAGCACCCAUCAUCUUCAAGCCAGUCCAUCUCUACAGGCCCCAUAGACCCCAACGGGGCAGAGAACAAAAGGAUCCGCCCUUUGUCCCCGUCACCUGGACAUUACAAUGCCAAUCAUCACCUGACAUGACCAUCCGUUCACUGGGAGAUCAUGCCCGUUAUCCCAUAAUGACAUUUCCCCUUUCCCAGGACCAGACUACUUAAUCCUAUCAAUAUGGACAAUAUUCUAUUAUUGGAACUCAACGGACAGCAAUGCCACAGACGCUGGAUCCAUUCAUUUGAGGAAUCCUCUUUGACAUCAGUGGAGCUCAGACAAUCAUGGCAGAGCUGGGGCACGAGCAGGAAUUUCAAAGGAUUGUACUGUAUAAAAAUGUCUGUUUUUCAAUUUUAUGGCAUCUCGGCUUAUUUUGGCAGAUUACCGUGAGCUGACUUGAAAUAAAUACCUCGGUGGCUUCUUCUUCAACUUGGUGAGAUUUUCAUUUGGGAACACUGGGUUAGCUUCUUCGUCUCGCCAGGCUCAUAGAUCCACAGGCAGCCUGAAGCUAGUACCGGUAUCAGCUUAACAGGACUCGGUAUCCACGCUUCAGGUUUCGCUAUCCGCGGCCCGGAUCUCACUAUCCGUGGCCGCUCUAAAUGGCUCGAUUUCAACAAUUGCCACCGUCAACACAAACAAACUCAACAUGUCACAGCAAGCAUUGCACUUGUUGCCUGUUGACUGCAACGCCUUCCUUUCUCUUCCCUGAAAACACCUCUGCUGCCCGCCCAUCUGCUCUGAAUAAAACACGCUUCUCAAUCAGAAAAUGGAGAUGUAAAGUUUGACUCCCGUCUUUGCUUUAGGGAAAUGAGUUACAGUCAUUCUUAAAAUAGGUCAGAACUUGCUCCUGGAUCGACGUCUAAUUCUCUUUUAGUCUACUUGCUCGCAGCCAACUCAUCACUGCUUCCAAACACAGCUUAAAGUUCUCAGGAAUCGUGGUUGUCCCAGGUUCGAGACGCAAGAGUAGCUGGGUAUCAUCUGCAUAGUGUUAGCACUCUGGGGGUCUCCAGCAGCCUCACCCCCCUUGCACUGACCCCUGGCCACGGAGGUGCCCCUCUCUCCAUUGGCAGAGAUGGCCCCACAAGACCCCUGCUUCCAUUGCUGGCCCUUUCUUUUCAUCGCUGCCUUUUUUCUUUUGGGAGAGAUCUUACUAAUACAUUAUUAUUAUUAUUAUUAUUAUUAUUAUUAUUAUUUUAUUAUGACACAGCAAACAAGAUAGAUAUGCUGGAUUUCAUAUCACAAAAUCACAAGUCAAACACUUCCCAAGUGUCUAGGACUGUGUGAUGUAUUUUCGGAUGAUGCAUGCAGAUCCCAGUAGGGUGGCCUUUUGCAGUUGGCAGAUUGUGAUUUUGUCAAUGUCUAUUGUUUCCAAAUGCCGGCUGAGAUCUUUUGGCAUGGCACCCAGUGUGCCCAUCACCAUUAUUGACACAAAGACAUAAUAAUAAUUAUUAUUAUUAUUAUUGACACAAAGAUAGUAUGGCACGGCAAAUGAGAUAGAUAUGUUUUUUUGUAUUACAAAAUCACAAAUCAAACACUUCCUAAGCAUUUAGGACUGUGUGAUGUAAUUAUUAUUAUUAUUAUUAGGCAUUGAAUUUUUGCCUAUUUAUUGUAAGCUGCCUUGAGUCCCCUCGGGGAGAAAGGCGGGGUAAAAGUGAUGUAAAUAAAUAAAUAAAUUAUUAUUAUUAUUAUUAUUUUGGAAAGGAAGUGCAGCCCAGACAGCUCCGAGUCUGGGCUGAGCUUCAAAGCGCUGCACAACAAUCCAUGAUGGAGUCUUGACCAGAGCCUGCUUUGGCCCUGAGGUCGGGCUUGGGUCUCUUCGGCCAGACGGAAGCAGGCACGUUCUUCUGUCUCUCAGGGAGCGAAGCCCAGAGGCACUUGCAGGGCUGGUUGCUGUUUUCCGGUCGUUAUGUGAAUUAUGGUGCCCCUCAGGCUAAUCCAUGACACAGAGCCAUGGAUUCAAAUCUCAGGAAGGAAGAGAGAUGCCACCUAAACAUUAGCAAGAACGUCUUGGCAGUCAGGUCAGCAGCAGGAUAUGCUUUUUUUGGGGAAACUGAGGUGUCUCCUUGCUUCUCUUGGGGAUUUUAAGCAGAGGCUGGAUGGUCAUCUGUCAGGAGGGAUUGGAUGGUGCCCUCCCAUCUGGUAGAAAGGAGAAAAGUUGGACUCAAUGGCCUUUAGAGGUCCCUUCCAAAUCUAGGAUU